rnacentral:rRNA from 1 species
CCCUGGCGGCGAGCGGCGAACGGGUGAGUAAUGCAUCGGAACGUAUCCUCAAGUGGGGGAUAACCCAGCGAAAGUUGGGCUAAUACCGCAUGAGCUCUGAGGAGGAAAGCGGGGGACCGUAAGGCCUCGCGCUYGUGGAGCGGCCGAUGUCCGAUUAGCUAGUUGGUGGGGUAAAGGCUCACCAAGGCGACGAUCGGUAGCUGGUCUGAGAGGAUGAUCAGCCACACUGGGACUGAGACACGGCCCAGACUCCUACGGGAGGCAGCAGUGGGGAAUUUUGGACAAUGGGGGCAACCCUGAUCCAGCCAUGCCGCGUGAGUGAAGAAGGCCUUCGGGUUGUAAAGCUCUUUCGGACGGAACGAAAUGGUUACGGUCAAUACCCGUGACUGAUGACGGUACCGUAAGAAGAAGCACCGGCUAACUACGUGCCAGCAGCCGCGGUAAUACGUAGGGUGCGAGCGUUAAUCGGAAUUACUGGGCGUAAAGCGUGCGCAGGCGGUUUCGUAAGCUGGAGGUGAAAUCCCCGGGCUUAACCUGGGAAUGGCCUUCAGGACUGCGAGGCUAGAGUGCGGCAGAGGGAGGUGGAAUUCCACGUGUAGCAGUGAAAUGCGUAGAUAUGUGGAGGAACACCGAUG